rnacentral:rRNA from 1 species
GCAAGGCCUUGCGCUCUUUGAGCGGCCGAUGUCAGAUUAGCUAGUUGGUGAGGUAAAGGCUUACCAAGGCGACGAUCUGUAGCGGGUCUGAGGGGAUGAUCCGCCACACUGGAACUGAGACACGGUCCAGACUCCUACGGGAGGCAGCAGUGGGGAAUUUUGGACAAUGGGGGCAACCCUGAUCCAGCCAUUCCGCGUGAGUGAAGAAGGCCUUCGGGUUGUAAAGCUCUUUCGGCCGGGAAGAAAUCGCAUGGGCCAAUACCCUGUGUGGAUGACGGUACCGGAAUAAGAAGCACCGGCUAACUACGUGCCAGCAGCCGCGGUAAUACGUAGGGUGCGAGCGUUAAUCGGAAUUACUGGGCGUAAAGCGUGCGCAGGCGGUUUUGUAAGACAGGCGUGAAAUCCCCGGGCUUAACCUGGGAACUGCGUUUGUGACUGCAAGGCUAGAGUACGGCAGAGGGGGGUGGAAUUCCACGUGUAGCAGUGAAAUGCGUAGAGAUGUGGAGGAACACCAAUGGCGAAGGCAGCCCCCUGGGUCGAUACUGACGCUCAUGCACGAAAGCGUGGGUAGCAAACAGGAUUAGAUACCCUGGUAGUCCACGCCCUAAACUAUGUCAACUAGGUGUUGGGUGGGUAAAACCAUUUAGUACCGUAGCUAACGCGUGAAGUUGACCGCCUGGGGAGUACGGCCGCAAGGUUAAAACUCAAAGGAAUUGACGGGGACCCGCACAAGCGGUGGAUGAUGUGGAUUAAUUCGAUGCAACGCGAAAAACCUUACCUACCCUUGACAUGCCAGGAACUUGCCAGAGAUGGCUUGGUGCCCGAAAGGGAGCCUGGACACAGGUGCUGCAUGGCUGUCGUCAGCUCGUGUCGUGAGAUGUUGGGUUAAGUCCCGCAACGAGCGCAACCCUUGUCGUUAAUUGCCAUCAUUUGGUUGGGCACUUUAACGAGACUGCCGGUGACAAACCGGAGGAAGGUGGGGAUGACGUCAAUUCCUCAUGGCCCUUAUGGGUAGGGCUUCACACGUCAUACAAUGGUCGGUACAAAGGGUUGCCAAGCCGCGAGGCGGAGCCAAUCCCAGAAAGCCGAUCGUAGUCCGGAUUGCAGGCUGCAACUCGCCUGCAUGAAGUCGGAAUCGCUAGUAAUCGUGGAUCAGCAUGUCACGGUGAAUACGUUCCCGGGUCUUGUACACACCGCCCGUCACACCAUGGGAGCGGGUUCCGCCAGAAGUAGGUAGCCUAACCGCAAGGGGGGCGCUUACCACGGCGGGGUUCGUGACUGGGGUGAAGUCGUAACAAGGUA